GUAGAACUGACCCUGUCCUGAAACACCUUCUCGAAGAAGCAGAGCUCUCGGCAUCCCCCACCGUGAAUCGCACAGGACUGGCACACCAGCUACACUCCAUUUGCCAAGCUUUACCCAGACUGUUUCCUCCUUCCCUCCAGUAGGCAGGAUGCCAGCAUCUGCUCGCCCCUCAAGGGUUGCCUUGUUAGGACACUUCUGUGUUUCCCUCCUGGGUAAGAUAUUUCUAUUUAAAGCGCAGAGACUAUUUGUACACGGAAAAUGGACCUGACGUUAGAUGUUUUCAUAAGUCAGGUAAGCAGGAAGACAGUCCAAUAUGACAAAGAACACAGACUCUGGUGCUACAAGCUGCUCUGCUCCUGAGACUGACUGUCUAGUCCUUGGAUAAAUACCCAAGAACCUGGUUAUUUGUCUCCUCGAAGAAGCAGAUUUAUACUGACAUGAUGACAUGGGACGACUUUUGAUUUUUUUUUUCCUGCCUGGCCAGUAUCACUGACUGAACAUCUCAAAAGAAAAGGACAGACAGUCCCUGUAUUCUGCUGGGUCCGCCACCUCAAAGCAGCAGCUGAUCAUUUUCUCCAGGCUCUUCUCAGUCUUGGAAGGCAGACUAAAUACUUUGCUGCCCGGCCACAUGAAGAUGGAAACCACAUCUUUUGAUUAAUUAAAAGCAAAAGGUUGGAACUCCGUACCUUUCCAUUCUUUAAUUAACAAAGCCCACAGGCCACACGAGGAAGUAAUAACACUCAUUAUAUUGUGAGGAGGAUGUGUGUUGAGUCAGAUGGGACUCCAGGCAGUCCCUCCAAGCCUUCACUGAGAUGUGCCACGGCGGUGUAGACAGAUCCUCACUUGCUGGAGACCUGUAGCUCACCAGCCGGGGCACGCUGCAUGCUUCAGUAUACUUCCUCUUGCAAAAGAAAGAAAAACCCCUCCUCCCCAAGAAACAAAGGCUUCAAUUUUAAUUAGGCCCCGGCAUCUCUUCUGGAAUUUCCUUUAUUGAAAGAACAUCUCCUUUGAUUUCUAUCUGCUGGUGUUAGUCUUUGGAACAACAACAACAAAAAUCUGAUCCCCCGCAGGCAGAAGUGUCUUGUUCGAAUGAUCAAAAGCCAUGUCAGCUGACUUACAAACUAACAAAUUAUUUUCUUAUUGUCUCUUAAACCUCUCCGGAAGCACCUUUUGAAACUGGUCGAGGUGGUUGCUCGGCACCCUUCAUGCCCGUGGGUGGUCUAAAGGGAUUCAAAGAAAUGACAAAGAUCCACUCCAUCUGAAAGUGGGAGCCCAACAGACCCCUAACUGCUUCCUCCAGUGUUCAGAGUCUGAGGGGCUCCCUGUGUCUGGGUGACCCGGGCACAGCUGAGAUCUGUUAGUCAGACUGUGAAUGUGAGCUUGAGAGUGUGUUUGCUGAGCCUGGGGAGACAGCCUACUUAGUGAGGGGCUUGCUAUGUAUAUUAGUUCUCUAUGUUAGAAUUCUCCAUAGAAACAGUGAUAUAGGCGAAACCGAGAAUAUAAAGAGAGGCUAAAAAGGAUCUACUUCCUGCCUGCAAGGUAGGCUAGGACGACGGCAGCACAGAGCAUGUGGAAGUAGCUAACCAAUGUCCGAUUUGACCUAAGGUCUAAUCCAUGAGAAGGAACCCAAAUCCAACACUGCUUGGGUGACCAAGAACCAGAGAGAGACUGACUACACAACCCAGAGAUCUAGGGUAAAACCAAACACUACUGGACUUCAAAAAAAAUCAGUAAAAUGAUUUCUAAUG
rnacentral:lncRNA from 1 species